GUGCACCUAUUUACCUAGGGUGCCAGGAGAAGGUAAGUGGCAUCCUAGGUAAGCGGUGAAAUGCGGUAGAUAUUAAGGAGGAUCACAGUGCGAAGCGCUACUGGACUGUACUGACGUUGAGCUCGAAAGCGUGGGGAGCAAACAGGAUCAGAUACCUGGUAGUCCACGCUGUAACGAUGAUACUAGGUGUCGGGGGCUAUAGCUCGGUGCCGCAGCAAACGCAAUAAGUAAUCCACCUGGGGAGUACGUUCGCAAGAAUGAAACUCUAAGGAAUGACGGGGACCCGCACAAGCGGUGGAGCAUGUGGUUUAAUUCGAAGCAACGCGAAGAACCUUACCAAAUCUUGACAUCCCUCUGACAGAGUAUGUAAUGUACUUUUCCUUCGGGACAGAGGAGACAGGUGGUGCAUGGUUGUCGUCAGCUCGUGUCGUGAGAUGUUGGGUUAAGUCCCGCAACGAGCGCAAC
rnacentral:rRNA from 1 species